UACGUAGGGACCAAGCGUUGUUCGGAUUUACUGGGCGUAAAGGGCGCGUAGGCGGCGUGACAAGUCACUUGUGAAAUCUCCGGGCUUAACUCGGAACGGUCAAGUGAUACUGUUGUGCUAGAGUACAGAAGGGGUAAUCGGAAUUCUUGGUGUAGCGGUGAAAUGCGUAGAUAUCAAGAGGAACACCAGAGGCGAAGGCGGAUUACUAGGCUGAUACUGACGCUGAGGCGCGAAAGCUAGGGUAGCAAACGGG
rnacentral:rRNA from 1 species